AUUGAACGCUAGCGGGAUGCUUUACACAUGCAAGUCGAACGGCAGCGCGGACUUCGGUCUGGCGGCGAGUGGCGAACGGGUGAGUAAUGUAUCGGAACGUGCCCAGUAGCGGGGGAUAACUACGCGAAAGCGUAGCUAAUACCGCAUACGCCCUACGGGGGAAAGCAGGGGAUCGUAAGACCUUGCACUAUUGGAGCGGCCGAUAUCGGAUUAGCUAGUUGGUGAGGUAACGGCUCACCAAGGCGACGAUCCGUAGCUGGUUUGAGAGGACGACCAGCCACACUGGGACUGAGACACGGCCCAGACUCCUACGGGAGGCAGCAGUGGGGAAUUUUGGACAAUGGGGGCAACCCUGAUCCAGCCAUACCGCGUGUGCGAUGAAGGCCUUCGGGUUGUAAAGCACUUUUGGCAGGAAAGAAACGUCGCGGGCUAAUACCCCGUGGAACUGACGGUACCUGCAGAAUAAGCACCGGCUAACUACGUG
rnacentral:rRNA from 1 species